CCCUUAGCCAAGAGAUUGGUAGCUAGAAAGAUAAGGUUGACUUGGAGUCAACUUCUAGCUUAGAGUUUUGACUAAAUUGAUCGGUUUCUUCAUUUGUAGUAAAUGAUUUUAGAUCAAUUUUUUCUCAGAAUCUGUACCCUUGGCGUUCUUGUAUUGGUUCAUCGUAGGUGAUUGACGACGAGUAGUUGUUAUGGCUGAAGCAUUUGUGUCGUUUGGAGUUGAGAAGCUUUGGGAUCUCCUGAGUCGAGAAUCUGAGCGAUUGCAGGGAAUUGAUGAGCAAGUUGAAGGACUAAAGCGUCAGCUGAGAAGUUUAGAGUCGUUGUUGAAAGAUGCAGAUGCCAAGAAACAUGGAAGUGAAAGGGUGAGGAACUUCUUGGAAGAUGUCAAAGACCUUGUUUAUGAUGCUGAGGAUAUACUUGAAUCCUAUGUUCUGAACAAAAGUAGAGCUAAAGAAAAAGGAAUCAAGAAGCAUGUGAGAAGACUUGCUUGCUUCUUAACGCAAAGUUGCUUCAGAUAUCGAAGGAAUCACUAAGAGGAUCUCUGAGGUGAUUGGGGAUAUGCAGAGUUUAGGGAUACAACAAAUCAUUGAUGGUGGUCGUUCGCUGUCUCUUCAGGACAGACAAAGGGAGCAGAGGGAGAUCCGACAAACGUUCGCUAAAAGUCCUGACCACGAUCUUGUUGGGGUGGAGCAGAGUGUUGAAGAAUUGGUUGGUCAUUUGGUGGAGAAUGAUAAACAUCAAGUGGUUUCUAUAUCUGGGAUGGGCGGUAUUGGUAAAACGACUUUGGCCAGACAAGUUUUUCAUCACGACAUAGUCCGACGUCAUUUUGAUGGAUUCGCAUGGGUCUGUGUUUCGCAACAAGUUUACGCAGAAAGAUGUUUGGCAG